rnacentral:rRNA from 1 species
UGAGUGCGAAAGCGUGGGAGCAAACGGAUAGAUACCCCGGUAGUCCACACGUAAACGAUGUCUACUAGCCGUUGGAGGACUUGAUCCUUUAGUGGCGCAGCUAACGCGAUAAGUAGACCGCCUGGGGAGUACGGUCGCAAGAUUAAAACUCAAAUGAAUUGACGGGGGCCCGCACAAGCGGUGGAGCAUGUGGUUUAAUUCGAAGCAACGCGAAGAACCUUACCUACUCUUGACAUCCAGUGAACUUUUGAGAGAUCAAUUGGUGCCUUCGGGAACACUGAGACAGGUGCUGCAUGGCUGUCGUCAGCUCGUGUUGUGAAAUGUUGGGUUAAGUCCCGUAACGAGCGCAACCCUUGUCCUUAGUUACCAUCAUUAAGUUGAGGACUCUAAGGAGACUGCCGGUGACAAACCGGAGGAAGGCGGGGACGACGUCAAGUCAUCAUGGCCCUUACGAGUAGGGCUACACACGUGCUACAAUGGCAUGUACAAAGGGUUGCCAAGCCGCGAGGUGGAGCUAAUCCCAUAAAGCAUGUCGUAGUCCGGAUUGGAGUCUGCAACUCGACUCCAUGAAGUCGGAAUCGCUAGUAAUCGUGAAUCAGAAUGUCACGGUGAAUACGUUCCCGGGCCUUGUACACACCGCCCGUCACACCAUGGGAGUGGGUUGCUCCAGAAGUAGAUAGCUUAACCUUCGGGAGGGCGUUUACCACGGAGUGAUUCAUGACUGGGGUGAAGUCGUAACAAGGUAGCCGUA